AUAAAAUAUUUUUGUAUUUUUUAAUUUUUGUUUUUGAUGAAGGGCUCAUGGCCGCGAAGGCCAAAAUGCCUAAAACCCACAAAAGUUACAAUGUAGCCCUAGGUACAAGAACUGUGUUAAGUGCUUUAUAUAGUACACGUUAUAUAAGUCCUCAUAAUGGUCCUGUUGUUCCCCUCAUGUAACAGGCAAAGAAACUGAGGCUUAGAGAGGUUGAGUCACUUACUCAAGGCCCCAUCUAAUGGGUUGGGGAGUUGGAAUUCCAGCUACCUCUUGCCUGACUCCAUAGUUCUUGUUCUUCCCCAUGGUCUGCAGAAACCUGAAGGACUUGGCGGCAGGAAAAAUUUGGUGGGGAACAUGUGUCUUCUCUCUUGCCUGCUCUGAUUUCUCAGGAGCAGGACCCAGGAGGGCAUCCGAGCCUCUGGCAGCUGAACCUCUGCAAACAGCAGUCACAGUGCAUUUCUGCAGGCUCUUGGAGCUGCUCCCUCUGCCUCGGCCAGAUGCGAAUUUGUGGCUUUUCCUUCUUGGCUCCUUUCCCCAGGUUUUCAUUCCUUUUAUUCUGGGAUGGAGCUGAAAUUUUUCCAACAGGGCCCAUGGUGGACACCCAGAAGUCAGUAGGGACUCCAAAAGGAAGUUAAGGCCGGGGAAGGGGGCCAGGAAGAGGGAGACCAGCCUAAAGUACACAACACUCAAUUCUUCAUUACUCACAUGUGGCCUGACCGCUGGUGGACUGGCUCCAGGAAAAUCUGAACCCUGGGCUGAGCCUCCCCGCCGGCUGGCCAGGACAGACCUGGAUGCCCUCCACCCUCCAGCCAAACUUAUUUUUUUCAUAUCAUAGCUGCAGAAUAUUCGGACCCUCUAGUCCCAGCCGCCCAGUGAACUUGAGCUGUGUGACCUUGAGCAAAAGGCAAAAUGUUUCUGAUUUUCAGUCCCCUCAUCUGGAAAAGGAGGAGGCUGUGGGACAUGAUGAUCUUUGAAAGUCUAAUAAUGAAACAAACAGAAAACCUGUGCUUCUAAGUUGGUGAGUCUGGAAAGGUACGUCUGUUGCUUAGGAAAAAAAGUCCCAAAUCCCAAAGAGCCCCUUUUGGCAAGUGUUGUACUUAAGACAAUCCGGGCGCUGCCCCUCCUGAGGCGGGGGGGACUCGAGGACCGGCUUUAGCAGAAGUUCCUCCCGCAGAACAACUCGGACGACGACGCCUCGGAGGAUCCGGGGAGCUUUGGAGGAGGCGAUGGCGGAGCAGGGCGGGUGGCAGCGCAGGCGUGGGAGGGACAGGUGGCCCGUUCGCGUCAAGUCAGGGCGCCCCCUCCUGGGACACCUGUGCCCCGCCUAGUCCCAGGGCCCAGUCCCGGGGCAGACACUGGCCGAGCCCGGAGCCUCUUCGCGUCCCCUCCCACCCAGACCAGGCCGGCGUUUCCCCCGGGCCCCCGCGCGGCUCCGGCCCGCGGAAGUCGCGCGUUCUUUCUUUCCCCCUCGUUAGUCGAGCUGAAACCUGAUCGUGGAAAGUCUGGGGCGGGUGUCAGACCCGGCCAGCUCUGGCUCCCAGCGCCUGGGGCGAUUCCUGCUGGAGGAACCCGGGCGGGGCCCGCCAAGGGGGCAGGAGGUCGGACACCUCGGGAACAGGCCUCUUUGUCUCUGUGCGGGCUUGGUGUACAGUUGAUGUCUAGAAUAUAUUAACAGAAGGCUGCCCUGUAGAAGUUUUGAGUUAAUGGUUUCCAUCAACGCAGGAGUGGAAGAAGCUACUGGGGAUCAGGAAUCAGAAGUCCUGGCUUUAAGCCCUAGCUUUAGCCCUCACUGGUAAUAAAAUCAAAGCAAUUGGUCUCUUUGACUUCAGUUUCUCCACUUUUAAGGUUGACCUGAUAAUACUUGCCCUGCUUGUGAAGAGCAUGUGAAAUAAUAGCUAUUCAAAUUUUUACAAAGCAC
rnacentral:lncRNA from 10 species